rnacentral:tRNA from 2 species
GGGCUGGUAGCUCAGCCUGGGAGAGCGCCGCAUUGGCUGUGCGGAGGCCGCGGGUUCAAAUCCCGCCCAGUCCACCA